rnacentral:misc_RNA from 1 species
AACGCACAUUGCACCUCUCGGUAUUCCGGGAGGUAUGCCUGUUCGAGCGUCAUUUGUACCCUCAAGCUCUGCUUGGUGUUGGGUGUUUGUUCCGCCUCUGUGUGUGAACUCGCCUUAAAACAAUUGGCAGCCGGCGUACUUGUUUCGGAGCGCAGCACAUUUUUGCGCUUUAGACCAAUGUACAGCGGCAUCCAAGAAGCCUUCUUUAACGCUCUUGACCUCGGAUCAGGUAGGGAUACCCGCUGAACUUAA